CAGCCGCCGCGGGAAUACGGAGGGUGCAAGCGUUAAUCGGAAUUACUGGGCGUAAAGCGCACGCAGGCGGUCUGACAAGUCAGAUGUGAAAUCCCCGGGCUUAACCUGGGAACUGCAUUUGAAACUGUCAGGCUGGAGUCUUGUAGAGGGGGGUGGAAUUCCAGGUGUAGCGGUGAAAUGCGUAGAGAUCUGGAGGAAUACCGGUGGCGAAGGCGGCUCCCUGGACAAAGACUGACGCUCAGGUGCGAAAGCGUGGGGAGCAAACAGGAUUAGAUACCCGGGUAGUCCCUGUCUCUUAUAC
rnacentral:rRNA from 1 species